rnacentral:rRNA from 1 species
AUUGAACGCUGGCGGCAUGCCUAACACAUGCAAGUCGAACGGCAGCACAGUGUGUAGCAAUACACAUGGGUGGCGAGUGGCGGACGGGUGAGUAAUGCGUAGGAAUCUGCCCUUAAGUGGGGGAUAGCCCGGAGAAAUCCGGAUUAAUACCGCAUGUGCUCUACGGAGCAAAGCGGGCCUCUGUUUCAGGCUCGCGCUUGAGGAUGAGCCUACGUCGGAUUAGCUAGUUGGUGGGGUAAAGGCCUACCAAGGCGACGAUCCGUAGCUGGUCUGAGAGGAGGACCAGCCACACUGGGACUGAGACACGGCCCAGACUCCUACGGGAGGCAGCAGUGGGGAAUAUUGGACAAUGGGCGAAAGCCUGAUCCAGCAAUGCCGCGUGUGUGAAGAAGGCCUGCGGGUUGUAAAGCACUUUUGUCGGGAAAGAAAAUCACAGGGUUAAUACCCCUGUGCCUUGACGGUACCCGAAGAAUAAGCACCGGCUAACUCCGUGCCAGCCGCCGCAGUAA